UAGCUGUUGUUUAUUCAUCAGCAACC
rnacentral:piRNA from 1 species